rnacentral:misc_RNA from 1 species
CAACCCUCAAGCUCUGCUUGGUCUUGGGCACUGCCGGUAACGGCUUGCCUUAAAACUAGUGGCGGUGCCAUUCGAGCUCUACGCGUAGUAACAUAACCCUCGCGAUUGAGUCUUGGUGGAUACUUGCCAGCAAUCUUUAAUUUUUUUGG